rnacentral:rRNA from 1 species
CGCCCUUAGAGUUUGAUCCUGGCUCAGGACGAACGCUGGCGGCGUGCCUAAUACAUGCAAGUCGAACGCAGCUUGCUUUGGUAAGAUGAGUGGCGAACGGGUGAGUAACACGUGGGUAACCUGCCUAUCAGAGGGGGAUAACACUUGGAAACAGGUGCUAAUACCGCAUAGAUUUCUUUCGCAUGAAAAGAGAGGAAAGACGUACGUGUCACUGAUAGAUGGACCCGCGGUGCAUUAGCUAGUUGGUGAGGUAACGGCUCACCAAGGCCAUGAUGCAUAGCCGACCUGAGAGGGUGAUCGGCCACACUGGGACUGAGACACGGCCCAGACUCCUACGGGAGGCAGCAGUAGGGAAUCUUCGGCAAUGGACGAAAGUCUGACCGAGCAACGCCGCGUGAGUGAAGAAGGUUUUCGGAUCGUAAAACUCUGUUGUUAGAGAAGAAUAGGUAGGAGUGACUUCCUGCCAUGACGGUAUCUAACCAGAAAGCCACGGCUAACUACGUGCCAGCAGCCGCGGUAAUACGUAGGUGGCAAGCGUUGUCCGGAUUUAUUGGCGUAAAGCGAGCGCAGGCGGUUUCUUAAGUCUGAUGUGAAAGCCCCCGGCUUACCGGGGGAGGGCAUUGGAAACUGGGAGACUUGAGUGCAGAAGA